rnacentral:lncRNA from 1 species
CGAGUCCGCGCCGCGCCGACGUCCGCGGGGAGAGGAAGGGAGGGGAGGAGAGGGCGCGCGGCUGCGCUCCGGGCUGCUGGCCGCACCUGUCCGGCUCUGCGCAGCACCGCGGCUCCGGCUCCCGGUCCCGCUCCCACUCCCGCCCAGGCUCCCGCUCCCGCCCCGGUUCCCGCUCCCGCCCCGGCUCCUGCUCCGGCUCCGGCUUCGGCUUCGGCGGUGGCGCGCGCCCGCUCCGCCAGCUCCCGGCCCACCGGCUGCCCCUGAGGGAAUGCAACCCCGCGGGGCUUGCAAGGCUCUUUCCCCGGCGCGCCCUUUCUGGCGCUGCACCCCGCUCGCUCCCACGCCGGGAAUGCAACCCCGCGGGGCUUGCAAGGCUCUUUCCCCCGCGCGCGCUCGCCCGCUGCCUUCCUGGCGCUCCGCACCCCGCCCGCUCCCACGCCAGGACUCAAACUCCGCCCGGCUUCCAGGGCUCUUCCCCGAAGUCACACUCGCCGCUCCAUCCCUUCUCAGCCUCGUUACUGUCAAGGGAGCAGGCGGGCGGGCGGAAGCCGCCCCCGGGGGUGCCUGGCGACCGUGGCGGGCACGCCGUCAGGCUAGGUGUGCGGGCUCCAGGCGGCUCCCCGUGCCGAGACCGGGAUGCGUUCCUCCUGUUUCCAUCUGAGCGUCAGCCGGGCGCGGUUUCCACACGGCGGCGGAUCCCUGAGUCUGGCCGUUUUCGAAACAAGGCGAGCUUCUCCAAACCCCUUCACGGACCAGACUUCAGAUUUGCUGGAGGGCUUCCUAGGUUUUGUGUCCUUACAUGUUUUAAAACAAGGAGGGGGGGUUUCCAAGGAAACUCUUCAAAGCGGGGCAAUCUGCUAACAGAAUCAAAGAAUCAAAGGAGAUAAGUAGCUCUGUGCCACUUCUUGCCACAGAAGCUUUGACGCUGUAGUAAGGGGUAUAUUACCCAUGUGUUUGUUCUCUGCCUACUUCACAGGAAAUCUUGGUAUCUUGCACACCCGUUUUCAUUCCCACUGUGUAGCGUCUCCCAGUCACCCCAGCCCGGCCACCCACCGACCCCAUCCUGUGGAGUCAGGUUCAAAUCACAGCUUUGUCACUUCCGAGCUGUGAGAUCCUGGGCAAGUUUUUUAACUUUCCUGGCCUUGGUGAAAAGCUUUCCGGGGCACGUGGGGGGCUCAGUUGGUGAGGUAUCUGCCUUCAGCUCAGGUCAUGAUCCCAGGGUCCUGGGAUUGAGCCUGGUAUAGGGCUCCCUGCUCAGCAGGGAAUCUGCUUCUCCCUCUGCCCGCCCCCCGCCCCG